rnacentral:rRNA from 1 species
AUGAACGCUAGCUACAGGCUUAACACAUGCAAGUCGAGGGGCAGCAUGAACUUAGCUUGCUAAGUUUGAUGGCGACCGGCGCACGGGUGAGUAACACGUAUCCAACCUGCCGAUGACUCGGGGAUAGCCUUUCGAAAGAAAGAUUAAUACCCGAUGGCAUAGUUCUUCCGCAUGGUGGAACUAUUAAAGAAUUUCGGUCAUCGAUGGGGAUGCGUUCCAUUAGGUUGUUGGCGGGGUAACGGCCCACCAAGCCUUCGAUGGAUAGGGGUUCUGAGAGGAAGGUCCCCCACAUUGGAACUGAGACACGGUCCAAACUCCUACGGGAGGCAGCAGUGAGGAAUAUUGGUCAAUGGACGAGAGUCUGAACCAGCCAAGUAGCGUGAAGGAUGACUGCCCUAUGGGUUGUAAACUUCUUUUAUACGGGAAUAAAGUGAGGCACGCGUGCCUUUUUGUAUGUACCGUAUGAAUAAGGAUCGGCUAACUCCGUGCCAGCAGCCGCGGUAAUACGGAGGAUCCGAGCGUUAUCCGGAUUUAUUGGGUUUAAAGGGAGCGUAGGCGGACGCUUAAGUCAGUUGUGAAAGUUUGCGGCUCAACCGUAAAAUUGCAGUUGAUACUGGGUGUCUUGAGUACAGUAGAGGCAGGCGGAAUUCGUGGUGUAGCGGUGAAAUGCUUAGAUAUCACGAAGAACUCCGAUUGCGAAGGCAGCCUGCUGGACUGUAACUGACGCUGAUGCUCGAAAGUGUGGGUAUCAAACAUGAGUAGAUACCAUGGUAGUCCACACAGUAAACGAUGAAUACUCGCUGUUUGCGAUAUACAGUAAGCGGCCAAGCGAAAGCGUUAAGUAUUCCACCUGGGGAGUACGCCGGCAACGGUGAAACUCAAAGGAAUUGACGGGGGCCCGCACAAGCGGAGGAACAUGUGGUUUAAUUCGAUGAUACGCGAGGAACCUUACCCGGGCUUGAAAGUUAGCGACGAUUCUUGAAAGAGGAUUUCCCUUCGGGGCGCGAAACUAGGUGCUGCAUGGUUGUCGUCAGCUCGUGCCGUGAGGUGUCGGCUUAAGUGCCAUAACGAGCGCAACCCUUAUCGAUAGUUACCAUCAGGUUAUGCUGGGGACUCUGUCGAGACUGACGUCGUAAGAUGUGAGGAAGGUGGGGAUGACGUCAAAUCAGCACGGCCCUUACGUCCGGGGCUACACACGUGUUACAAUGGGGGGUACAGAAGGCAGCUACACGGCGACGUGAUGCUAAUCCCGAAAGCCUCUCUCAGUUCGGAUUGGAGUCUGCAACCCGACUCCAUGAAGCUGGAUUCGCUAGUAAUCGCGCAUCAGCCACGGCGCGGUGAAUACGUUCCCGGGCCUUGUACACACCGCCCGUCAAGCCAUGAAAGCCGGGGGUACCUGAAGUACGUAACCGCAAGGAGCGUCCUAGGGUAAAACUGGUGAUUGGGGCU